ensembl:lncRNA
UGUUGGGCUGCUGAGGGGCGAUGAGGCCAGCCUGGGAGUGGUGGUGGAGAGCCCCCCUGAGCAGGACAGCAGCACAGAGGGCAGGAAGCCAAGCCAAGAGGCUGGGAGGGACGAUCCCUGCUGAUGGCGUCGAGCACCCAGGCUGUCAGCUGGAUGAGAAUGGAGAGCUCUACCUGCUUCUCCUGCUGUGCUGUGCCCGGUGUCCAGAGCCAGCCGGCAGCAGCAGGGCAUCAGUGACGUGCGCUGGACCAGUGAACACUGCAGACCACACAGGAGCAUACUUCCAGGAGUGCUAAGCGCCGUUGGCUCCUUCACUGUCCAUGGAGCCCAGCUCUGUGCCCGGCCCUGACUUGCACUGUAGGCAUCAUGGCCGUGAAGGAGACAAACUCUGCCGCCCCCUGGAGCCGACGUCACAGAGGGGCAAACAGUGAGCAGAGCACAGCAGCCCACUGUGCAUGUGCAGCCAGAAGCGUCUUCUCCAAUGGAGGCCGAGGACGUCACUCCCUGGUCCUGAUCCCCUGCUCCUUAGAACCUGAGCCAGGGCCCUUGCAGUGGAACUGAGCUUGGACUAAUGAGGCAGCUCAGAGGUAGCCGCUGGCCAGCCAGCCAGGGCCCAACCUCACAGAAGAGGAGAAAGCCUCAUCAGCAGAGCAUUCCACUGUCAGAGCUGACUGCUUUCCAGGCCUGAGCUGGAGGAUAUCUAAGGCCCUGCUCUCUGUGGGUGAAGGAAAAUCUUCUCUGCCCGCUCAGAUGCUGGGACCGUCCCAGGGCCGUCUCAUGAGCAGGUGGAAAGACUCUGCAUGCAGUGUCACCGGCCUUGCGAGCAGCAGCCAGCGGCCUCCUGGACAUCCUCAGGCUUCUGAGGAGCCCCUGCGGAAGCUCCCUGACACACGACCCUCCCUCUGGACCCCAAGAUGUCUGGCUUCCUGUGGAGCUCCCUUAGACAUGGAGCUGGGUGAGCAGCCCAGACCUCGGUCAGCACUCCCAGGGGGAUCGCUCUGCACCACUGUCAUAAAAAGGAGACAUCGUCCCAGUGGACAGGCCCAGCUCCUGCGUUACAGUCAGAAAACUCAGCCUGACGUGGAAGUGACCCGAGGCUGCUUUGAGGGCCCAAACCCGUGCCGCAGUCCAGGCUCUGAGGUUUCACCUCAGUGGGGCUGAAAUGCAGACCUGCAGUGAGGGUGGCCCCUCCUCAUGACCCCAGGUGCCUCCAGGCCGUCCUCCUAGUUCACCAAGUGUUUUGGACACGAUGCUUCUUAGGUCACGGAGGUGCCAGGUCCCUUCUGAGUUGAAUCUCUGCAGAUAGUGCCACUGUGGUUGGCAUAGCUCCGCUGGCCGCUGGACCAAGGCCUCUCACCUGCAUAUCCCUGCAUGUCCACGUGUCCUUCUUGCACGGCCCCCACGCACAGCGGAAGGCGUCCACCUUGGGCCGAACUCCGACGCCGCUGGCCAGCUCUGGAUUCUAUGUCUCACCUCCACAUAAAUGCAGGGGGGCGGCUCGACCUCCCGCUCUGGGAUGGGACUGGCUGGGACCUCACAUGGGCCAUACCCUGUUCGGCUUGCCAGGCCGGGUCCUGCUCGGCAGGCAGCAGCACAGGCCUCGUAGCACUGUGAGCAGCUUCCCAGUGGCGCCCCCACCUCUGGCCCUGGCUGCAGCCUGAAGGGGAGGCUGGGGUCGCCCCACCAGGCUAUCCAGCCUGCCGAGAGUCUCUGUGGCAGUUUCCCUCCCGGGCCCCACGGCUGGUGCUGGUGCUGUGGGUGGAGGGGACGGCCCCGGGGACCCGCGGAGAGGUCGGGCUGGGGGUGGUGGCGCCCGACUCCAGGCGAGCAGGCUCUGUGACCUUCAGCACUGACUCCUGCUUCUCCUCGGGCCACUGACAGCCAGCCUCGCAAAGCCAGGUGGGCAGAACCGGCUCACUGCCACCACGUCAGCCGAGAUGGGCAGAGGCCCUCAGCUGUGCUGUGCAGGCUGGCAAAGAGCUGCAGCUGCUGGCCUCGGCGGACGGGAGGGACCUCCCGGUGCUGGUGUGCCCAUCCCCCUGGGCCUUCUGAGACUUCAGGAUGAAGAACAUGCCCACACUAUUGUCAUACCUUCAUCUGCGAGACUCCUGGAUUUGAUUCCACUGAAAACCCAUCUUCAUCAUUGCUUCUGUCACCCAGGAGUCCCUUGUGUCACAAGGCAGCUCCUAUACGGGCUCAGUUUCGGCCAGCUCUGAUUGACCCAUGGGUCUCCCAUGACCUCUUCUAAGGUCUUCCUCUUCCUGGGGUCAAGGGUCAGCAGGACUCUCAUAAUUGGAUGCAUUCCAACAAAAGGAGCAUGGGGAGCGAGUAGGCCCCUCUGAGCAUGCUCUGCCGCACGUCACUGAAGUCCUCUCCCCAGAACGGCGGGGACCCAGUGAGCAUGACAUGGAGCAGCACGCCAAGGCUCCAGCCGUCAGCUGGGGGGCCGUCUUAGGGCUGCAGUCGCAGGACCUCCGGGGCCGUGUAGCCGGGGGUGCCCCAGUAGGUGCUCAGUGGCCGGCCGGGGACCACGCUGCUGAGGCCGAAGUCGGCCAGCUUCGCGUUCCCCUCCGGGUCCAGGAGCACGUUCUCCAGCUUCAGGUCCCGGUGCACGAUGCCCUUGCGGUGGCAGUACUGGAGAGCCGAGACGAGCUGCCGGGACCGGCCGCGGGCCUCCUCCGUCAGGGGGCCAUGCUGCAACCGAGGGUCGAGGGUGUCCCCUCUGCUGAUGUAUUCUGUGAUGAUGAACAGCGUCUCCUCCGUGUCGAUCACCUCUAGCAGCUUUACAAUGUGGGGUGGUGCAAUAUCUUCAAACUCUGCAUUUCACCGAGGAGUCUCUUGGCUCUGGAGGAGCUCUGCUCCUGCUUCGGGGUGAUUUUCACGGCAACCUCUGUCCCGGCCGGGAUGUGCAGGGCCAGCUUCACCUGUGAAGGAGCCCUCCCCAAUGGUCCUGAGGAGCUCGUAAUCGUGAAGACAGGUCUGCCUGCCAGAGAGGUGGCAGCGAGGCCUGGAAGCAUGGUGACCUCAUAACUACACUUACUGACAAUACCAACCAGUGAUGCUAACUAUGCUUACUAACUACGCCAACAAACAAAAUGUUAGUCUGCUAACUAAUACUGACUAACAAUAGUAACAAGGCCACCGAUGCUUGCUAACUUACUAACUAUGCUAAUAAGUAACACUAACUAUACCAAAGAUGCUAACUCUACUAACUACACCAACAAUACUAACUAUACUAACUGUAAUAACAAUACUAACUAAAAAAUUGUUUUAAAAUGUGAAAAAGAACAAAAAAGGCAAGGAAAAAUAAAAAAUGAGAAAAGAACAGGUUUUCGUAAAUUCCAUCACAGUGGCUCCUUAUGAAGUCAGAGCAGGAAAUGCACCAGGCAUGGCUGGGGAUAAACUAUAGUGGUUGGCUCCCUUUUUGGUCUCAAGAACACGUUACUGUGAAAAAAAAAAAACAGGACAGCAAAGAGCUUUUUAUGUAUGUAGGAUAUUAGACAGUGAUAUUUACUUUAUUAGAAAUUAAAACCUGUAAGAUGCUUCAGUGGC